AACCUUAUGGACCUGCGGGCGUAUACCUGCGGAAGGAUCAUUACUGAGUACUGGGUUCUUUUAUAGGCCCACACUCCCACCCUUUGUGUAUUUACUUACUAUUUUACUUGUUGCUUUGGCGGGUUUGAUCUCCACUUCACCUUUCUGGCUAGUGGUAGGGGCGCCCGCCAAAGUAUACAACCAACUAAACUCGUUAUAACCGCGUAAUGUCUGAGUAAAAAACAAAAAAUUAAAACUUUC
rnacentral:misc_RNA from 1 species